rnacentral:rRNA from 1 species
UGCGUAGGCGGACUAAUAAGUCAGUGGUGAAAUCUUUCGGCUCAACCGAGAAACUGCCAUUGAUGCUGUUAGUCUUGAGUUCGGUUGAGGUAGGCGGAAUGUGUAAUGUAGCGGUGAAAUGCUUAGAUAUUACACAGAACACCAAUUGCGUAGGCAGCUUACUAGACCGACACUGACGCUGAGGCACGAAAGCGUGGGGAGCGAACAGGAUUAGAUACCCUGGUAGUCC